rnacentral:rRNA from 1 species
GAUGAACGCUAGCGGGAGGCUUAACACAUGCAAGUCGAGGGGUAGGGAAGCAAUUCCUGAGACCGGCGGACGGGUGCGUAACGCGUAUGCAAACUGCCUUAUACAGGGGGAUAGCCCAUGGAAACGUGGAUUAACACCCCAUAGGAUUACGGGAUCGCAUGAUUUUGUGAUUAAAACUGAGGUGGUAUAAGAUGGGCAUGCGUCUGAUUAGGUAGUUGGUAGGGUAAUGGCCUACCAAGCCGACGGUCAGUAGGGGUUCUGAGAGGAUUACCCCCCACACUGGUACUGAGACACGGACCAGACUCCUACGGGAGGCAGCAGUGAGGAAUAUUGGUCAAUGGCCGGAAGUCUGAACCAGCCAUCCAGCGUGCAGGAUGACGGCCCUAUGGGUUGUAAACUGCUUUUGUACCUGAAGAAUAGGCCCAACGAGUUGGGAUUUGCCGGUAAGGUAUGAAUAAGCAUCGGCUAACUCCGUGCCAGCCGCCGCAGUAAGAC